CAGGGGGCGCUGUUGGGUCGCUGGAGGUGCAGGGCCUGCAGUUCUUGUUGUUCCCAGAUGACGGUGUUCCAAGGCUCUGCCCUUCUCUCCCAGCAAGCACAGACCUCUCUGAUGAAAACCCAGUAGGUCCCGGCUGGAGUCACGAGGCAGUGUGCGAGCCGACCGAGUCCGGUGGUCUGGCCUCACCAGGACGAAAAGCCAGAAAGACAGACUCCUAGGCCUUCUCUCCAAAUGCCCGCACGCAGAUCCCCGUCUCCGUCCCAGAGAGCGAACUCCGCCGUCUGCCCCUCUCCCCUCUGAGCAGAGCCAGCCCCCACCCUCCCAAAACUCCUCCCCUCUCCUCCCAGCCUCUGAUGGACCAUCAGCGAGGAAUGCAGCCUGGCUAGCUAGUUCUUUUGUGACUUCUAAGAGCAGAACUUCCAUUCUUGAAAAAGUUAAAUAAAUACCUGGGAACUGAGAGAAAA